GCCCUCCUGGGGAGGAGGAGGAAAAGGAGGCCGAGUUUGGUUGAUUCUUUGAGCUCAGGAAUUCUGAGCUGCAUUGGGCCAUCAAUCAGUUGUCUGCACUAAGUUUCCCAUUAACAUGAUGAGUCUCUGGGAGCAGAGAGCCCCCAGGUUGCCUAAAGAGUUAUGGAUAGACCCAAGUUGGAAACAGUAGGUCAAAGCUUCCAUGUUUAUCAAAGAAGGAUCCAGCCUGUGGGUAGCCUUUGCAUUUCCAGCCUGACCGAGGUAAGGAAACCUAGUCUUUA
rnacentral:SRP_RNA from 1 species